rnacentral:rRNA from 1 species
CGUACACUCCUACGGGAGGCAGCAGUGGGGAAUAUUGGACAAUGGGCGCAAGCCUGAUCCAGCCAUGCCGCGUGAGUGAUGAAGGCCCUAGGGUUGUAAAGCUCUUUCACCGGUGAAGAUAAUGACGGUAACCGGAGAAGAAGCCCCGGCUAACUUCGUGCCAGCAGCCGCGGUAAUACGAAGGGGGCUAGCGUUGUUCGGAUUUACUGGGCGUAAAGCGCACGUAGGCGGACUAUUAAGUCAGGGGUGAAAUCCCGGGGCUCAACCCCGGAACUGCCCUUGAUACUGGUAGUCUUGAGUUCGGGAGAGGUGAGUGGAAUUCCGAGUGUAGAGGUGAAAUUCGUAGAUAUUCGGAGGAACACCAGUGGCGAAGGCGGCUCACUGGCUCGGUACUGACGCUGAGGUGCGAAAGCGUGGGGAGCAAACAGGAGUAGAUACCCUGGUAGUCCCAUGAU